GUGCCCCGUAGCUUGAGCGCACAGUCCAAAGCUAGCUCCAGAGGGGAAGCUACCGGCUCACUGCAAGGAAUCCAGGAUACUUGUCCAUCCUGGGACUGUCCAGAAGAGAAGAAAGCAAAGGCCUAGGACAAAGUGCAACCUCUAUUUGCUAGGUGGCACGGUGAACAGAGCACGAGGCCG